UACGUAGGUGGCAAGCGUUGUCCGGAAUUAUUGGGCGUAAAGCGCGCGCAGGCGGUCCUUUAAGUCUGAUGUGAAAGCCCACGGCUCAACCGUGGAGGGUCAUUGGAAACUGGGGGACUUGAGUGCAGGAGAGAAGAGUGGAAUUCCUGGUGUAGCGGUGAAAUGCGCAGAUAUCAGGAAGAACACCCGUGGCUAAGGCGGCUCUCUAGUACGUGACUGACGCUGAGACGCGAAAGCGUGGGGAGCGAACAGG
rnacentral:rRNA from 1 species